UACGAAGGGGGCUAGCGUUGCUCGGAAUCACUGGGCGUAAAGGGCGCGUAGGCGGCCUGAUAAGUAGGGGGUGAAAUCCUGCGGCUUAACCGCAGGGCUGCCUUCUAAACUGUCAGGCUAGAGCACGGUAGAGGCAGAUGGAAUUCCCGGUGUAGCGGUGGAAAUGCGUAGAGAUCGAGGAAGACACCGGUGGCGAAGGCGCUCUGCUAGGCCGUAACUGACAUUGAGGGACGAAAGCUAGGGGAGCGAAUGGG
rnacentral:rRNA from 1 species